CUGGUGUCAGCCGCCGCGGUAAUACCAGCACCUCGAGUGGUCAGGACGUUUAUUGGGCCUAAAGCAUCCGUAGCCGGCUUUGCAAGUCUUCGGUUAAAUCCACCUGCUCAACAGAUGGGCUGCUGGAGAUACUACAAAGCUAGGGAGUGGGAGAGGCAGACGGUAUUCAGUGGGUAGGGGUAAAAUCCUCUGAUCCAUUGAGGACCACCAGUGGCGAAGGCGGUCUGCCAGAACACGUUCGACGGUGAGGGAUGAAAGCUGGGGGAGCAAACCGGAUUAGAUACCCGGGUAGUCCCAGCUGUAAACGAUGCAAACUCGGUGAUGCAUUGGCUUAUGGCCAAUGCAGUGCCGCAGGGAAGCCGUUAAGUUUGCCGCCUGGGAAGUACGGACGCAAGUCUGAAACUUAAAGGAAUUGGCGGGGGAGCACCACAAGGGGUGAAGCCUGCGGUUCAAUUGGAGUCAACGCCAGGAAUCUUACCCGGGGAGACAGCAGAAUGAAGGUCAAGCUGAAGACUUUACCAGACAAGCU
rnacentral:rRNA from 2 species